ACAGCAAUACGUUUAUUCAUUUUAGUUUUGUUCACUCCUGUCUGCUUCUUGUGGCACACCAAUUCAGUGCCUUUUCAAGCAGAUAUCAUUGUGAAAUCAUAGGUUGGGAGGAUGACCGCUCGAGUGCACUGCUCGAUGAUUGCUGUUGCAUUGUGUCUGUUCAGAUACUUGAGCAUAACCGACGCUACUCUAGGUUUGGGAUUACUUGAGAAGCGCAAGAAUAUCCUUCUGAUCGAGACCGCUCUGGAGGAAGCAAAUGUUCUAAAUUUCACUGAGUCUGUUUCAGUUUUUAAUUAAUGCUAGGGGUCCUCUAUGAAAAAAGUGAGGCCAGGUCAAUGUCCCGACCCGAAGAAUAUUCCAAUGUUUGCUGAAAGCUGUGUCCAUGAUGGCCAGUGCCCUGCCACACAGAAGUGUUGCCCAACCACCCGUGGCCACGGAUGCAGUGAACCAAGCGUCCAGGGCCAAGGAAUGGGUCCUUCUAUCAUUUUAAACUGUCUUCUCACAUUACUAAUCUUCCCUCCUCUUAUAUUUUCAUGCAUUUCGUCAGUGGAUAUAUAUAUGAUGGAAUUCCAUAUUACAUCUUUUUUCCCCUUUUGUACUCUAAUCUCUUUGGUUGUGACAUUUUCUCCGUUCACUUUCUUUUAUUUUGAGUAGUUUGUUUUUCUGCCCAAUAUCUUUCACUAUGAUCAGAACUCUCCCUUGACCAAAACACUUUGUUUUUUUUGUUUGUUUUUUUUUUAUUUUAUCGAUUGCCUUGGAUAGUCCUACGGGAUGCAAAUGCGAUACUGUACUCUUUUCAAGUGUUAGCAUAAUUUUGUGUCCAUUCUCCAUUAUUUAUUGGUUUUCUUUUUUUUUUAUCCUCCAUUGAUUCCAUCAUAUCUUCGCUAUCCCCCUGAUCCUUAGAUUUCUUUCUUUUAUUCUCUUUUUCGUUAUUUUUCCCCAAAUAUACCUCUGUAAAUCCUUCCAUCUCCAUUAUCAUUUCCUCAAUCUUCAUCCAUAACUGCACAACAGCAACACCAGCCUCUCCUUCUCCCCACACAUUAAUUUCUCAUACAAUCACAACCCAAUCAAGCACACCUGAACAAGCUAAUCAAGGCCUUCAAACUUACUUUAAAUCAGGUGAGUUUGAUCAGGGUUUGUGUUGACCUGAUCGUCUAUGGAUCUUUAAAACCCCAAUUUACAGAGGUUGAUGUUGCAGCAAGACAUAUAUUUGAUUUAGCUUUGUUUGCUUGUUUUACUGUCUGCUCCGUCUGGCACACUGAUUCAGUGUAUUUUACAGCAGAGAUCAUUGUGAAAUCGUAGGUUGGGAGGAUGACCUCUCGAGUGCACUGCUCAAUGAUUGCUUGUUGUAUUGUGUCUGUUCGGAUACUUGAGCAUAACAGACGUUAUUCCAGGUUUGGGAUUACUCGAAGCUGAUGGGCUUGCUGUCCGAUCAAGAAUCUCCUUUUGAUCGAGACUGCUCUGGAGGAAGCAAAUGUUCUCAAUUUCACUGAGUCUGUUUAAAUUUUUUAUUAAUGCUAGGGGUCCUCUAUGAAAAAAAAAAAAAGUGUGUGUAUACAUUAUUUUUGGUCCGUUGUUGGUGAGAAAAGUAAUGAUACAUUUUGCACUUUUUGUUUAUUCUUGUCUAAAGUAAGUUUGAAUUCAUCCCGUAAGAUAAGUAUUAAACUCAGGAUGGGUUUACUGAAUAAACCAUUACACAACCUUAAGAAAUGACUGGUUCUCAGUCUUCGAAUGUAAGAUUGGGAAUCGGUAGUAUAUAUUAGUAGGUAGUGAAUAUGUCUCAUUCUUAUUAUUUUAAGAGGUUCAAGGUUUGGGAUUCCUUUUAAGCUGACAGGCUUGCUGUCCUGUCGAGGAUGUUCUUCUAACUGCUCUGGAGUAAGCAAAUGUUUUCUAUUUCACAGUGAGUCUGUUUCCAGUGAGUUUCAGUUUAAAUGAUGCUAGGGGUCCUCUUAAAAAAAGAGGAUGACAUGACAGCUACAUCUCUGUUAGUUGUGGGCUGGCACAAACUAAAGCUGACUAUCUGUGUCCAUGCAGUGAAGCCAGGUCAAUAUCCCGACCCGAAGAACAUUCCACUGUUUGCUGAAAGAUGCAUCCAUGAUGGCCAGUGCCUUGCCACACAGAAAUGUUGCCCAACCACCCGUGGCCAUGCACGCAGUGAACCAAGCAGUCAGGGCCAGGGAAGUGGCCAGGGCCAGGGAAGAGGUCAGGGCCACGGUCGGUGAUAUGGUCAGGGGAAAUUAUGGACUUUGAAACUUUCAUAGGAAUUUUGCAUGACACAUACUUGAGGGCUUUUCAAUUCAGUACUUUAUCCAUAUGCUGCCUCCCCUUUUUUGCUGCGACCAUUAAAGAUUUUCUCCCUCCUUCCCUGAAAUAAAAAGAAAAUUGCUUGAUUGA